rnacentral:rRNA from 1 species
GUUAGGUGACUGCGUACCUUUUGUAUAAUGGGUCAGCGACUUAUUUUCAGUGGCGAGCUUAACCGAAUAGGGGAGGCGUAGCGAAAGCGAGUCUUAAUAGGGCGUCUAGUCGCUGGGAAUAGACCCGAAACCGGGCGAUCUAUCCAUGGGCAGGUUGAAGGUUAGGUAACACUGACUGGAGGACCGAACCGACUACCGUUGAAAAGUUAGCGGAUGACCUGUGGAUCGGAGUGAAAGGCUAAUCAAGCUCGGAGAUAGCUGGUUCUCCUCGAAAGCUAUUUAGGUAGCGCCUCGUGUAUCACUGCUGGGGGUAGAGCACUGUUUCGGCUAGGGGGUCAUCCCGACUUACCAAACCGAUGCAAACUCCGAAUACCAGCAAGUGUCAGCACGGGAGACACACGGCGGGUGCUAACGUCCGUCGUGAAAAGGGAAACAACCCAGACCGUCAGCUAAGGUCCCAAAAUCCUGGUUAAGUGGGAAACGAUGUGGGAAGGCUUAGACAGCUAGGAGGUUGGCUUAGAAGCAGCCAUCCUUUAAAGAAAGCGUAAUAGCUCACUAGUCGAGUCGGCCUGCGCGGAAGAUGUAACGGGGCUCAAACCAGGUACCGAAGCUACGGGUUCAUCGCAAGAUGAGCGGUAGAGGAGCGUUCUGUAAGCCUGUGAAGGUGAGUUGAGAAGCU